AGAGAGGAGAUUUGAGGAUGUCGGUGAUCAUCAACAUCUUCCUUGGUCUUCAGAGGACCCCAUUGGUCAGCAGAGGAUGUGGAAAGCCCCUCUUGAGCUACUGAAGGCCGCUCUUAGGUCUCCCCGGAUCCUUCUCCAGGCUGCCAAGUUCAAUGCAUACCAAUAAAUGCUUCAUGGAGACAAAUCAGUGGAGCUAUAAAGACUAGAAUGUCUUUAACCUCAACAGAGUAAUUUUCAAAAGUCAAAUGGGCUCUGUUAUAGAAGCUAGUUACGUGAUAGCAAAUCUGACGGCAGGAAAAUCCAAACCAUUUCCCGAUGGUGACUUUGUUAAGCAAUGUAUGGAAAACACAACAGGCAUAAUGUGUCCUGAUUUAAAACACAAAAACCAGGUGUCUUCUGCAUCUUCUAAGGGUUCGUACUGGUUCUCCAGGAGUUUCGCUAAGGAAAGAUGCUGGGUUGACAGUAUUGGCUUCUACGUCAUCCUGCUCUAGUGCAACUGCUACUGUUCUUCCCAAUUUAUUCCUCUCCUUACAAUCCCUGUUUCCGUAUACUCUGCAAGCCCCCUCUAUUAAUUUGCCCAGGUCCCUUAGCUUCCCAGGUACCUCACCCGUUCCUUGAAUCUGUAAACAAGUUCAGCAGACGUGGAGGGACAGAGUUUACUCUUUCAGAAAAGCUGAAAGAUUGUAACUAUUCAUGCCAGACAGACCCUCUCAACACAAUCAGGAGUUGUCUAGCUUGUACACCUGGCAUGGGUGUGAGCAGAGGCUAUAAAGACCAUGGGCAAGCCCCACCAAACCUGAGGUGGCUUGACGGCGAAGAGUGGAGAAGCCCAGCUCCAGUGUCAUGUACUUCAGGGCAGGAUGGAAGAUCCAGCACUGCCACACGCAUUGGCAAGAGGGUCACGUUUAAUAAGUGCAUACUGACCAAGUGCAUAUUGUUCAUCACACACAAUAAAGUUUUUGUUGUGC
rnacentral:lncRNA from 7 species